rnacentral:rRNA from 1 species
UACGUAGGGUGCAAGCGUUAAUCGGAAUUACUGGGCGUAAAGCGUGCGCAGGCGGUUAUGUAAGACAGUUGUGAAAUCCCCGGGCUCAACCGUGGGACUGCAUCUGUGACUGCAUAGCUAGAGUACGGUAGAGGGGGAUGGAAUUCCGCGUGUAGCAGUGAAAUGCGUAGAUAUGCGGAGGAACACCGAUGGCGAAGGCAAUCCCCUGGACCUGUACUGACGCUCAUGCAC